rnacentral:rRNA from 1 species
UACGUAGGUGGCAAGCGUUGUCCGGAUUUACUGGGCGUAAAGGAUGCGUAGGCGGACAUUUAAGUCAGAUGUGAAAUACCCGAGCUUAACUUGGGUGCUGCAUUUGAAACUGGGUGUCUAGAGUGCAGGAGAGGUAAGUGGAAUUCCUAGUGUAGCGGUGAAAAUGCGUAGAGAUUAGGAAGAACACCAGUGGCGAAGGCGACUUACUGGACUGUAACUGACGCUGAGGCGAUGAAAGCGUGGGGAGCAAACAGG